rnacentral:rRNA from 1 species
AACGAACGCUGGCGGCAUGCCUAACACAUGCAAGUCGAACGAAGGCUUCGGCCUUAGUGGCGCACGGGUGCGUAACGCGUGGGAAUCUGCCCUUGGGUUCGGAAUAACAGUUAGAAAUGACUGCUAAUACCGGAUGAUGUCGUAAGACCAAAGAUUUAUCGCCCAAGGAUGAGCCCGCGUAGGAUUAGCUAGUUGGUGGGGUAAAGGCCCACCAAGGCGACGAUCCUUAGCUGGUCUGAGAGGAUGAUCAGCCACACUGGGACUGAGACACGGCCCAGACUCCUACGGGAGGCAGCAGUGGGGAAUAUUGGACAAUGGGCGAAAGCCUGAUCCAGCAAUGCCGCGUGAGUGAUGAAGGCCUUAGGGUUGUAAAGCUCUUUUACCCGGGAUGAUAAUGACAGUACCGGGAGAAUAAGCUCCGGCUAACUUCGUGCCAGCAGCCGCGGUAAGAC